rnacentral:sRNA from 1 species
AGCAGCCGCGGUAAUUCCAGCUCCAAUAGCGUAUAUUAAAGUUGUUGCAGUUAAAAAGCUCGUAGUUGAAUUUCGGGGUCAGCAGGUCGGUCGUGCCAAUGGUAUGCACUGGCCUUGCUGAUUCCUCCCUCUUGAUGAGCCGUAAUGCCAUUAAUUUGGUGUUGCGGGGAAUCAGGACUGUUACUUUGAAAAAAUUAGAGUGUUUAAAGCAGGCAAGCGCUUGAAUACAUUAGCAUGGAAUAAUGAAAUAGGACGUUUGAUCCUAUUUUGUUGGUUUCUAGGAUUGACGUAAUGAUUAAUAGGGAUAGUUGGGGGCAUUAGUAUUCAAUUGUCAGAGGUGAAAUUCUUGGAUUUAUUGAAGACUAACUACUGCGAAAGCAUUUGCCAAGGAUGUUUUCAUUAAUCAAGAACGAAAGUUAGGGGAUCGAAGACGAUCAGAUACCGUCGUAGUCUUAACCAUAAACUAUGCCGACUAGGGAUCGGAUGAUGUAAUUUUUAAUGA